rnacentral:rRNA from 1 species
CCUACGGGGGGCAGCAGUGAGGAAUAUUGGUCAAUGGGCGGAAGCCUGAACCAGCCAAGUAGCGUGCGGGAUGAAGGUACAGAGUAUCGUAAACCUCUUUUGUCAGGGAACAAAGGCGGGGACGUGUCCCCGGAUGAGUGUACCUGAAGAAAAAGCAUCGGCUAACUCCGUGCCAGCAGCCGCGGUAAUACGGAGGAUGCGAGCGUUAUCCGGAUUUAUUGGGUUUAAAGGGUGCGCAGGCGGUCUGUUAAGUCAGCGGUCAAAGCCCGGGGCUCAGCCCCGGCCCGCCGUUGAAACUGGCAGUCUCGAGUUGGAGAGAAGUAUGCGGAAUGCGCGGUGUAGCGGUGAAAUGCAUAGAUAUCGCGCAGAACUCCGAUUGCGAAGGCAGCAUGCCGGCUCCACACUGACGCUGAGGCACGAAAGCGUGGGUAUCGAACAGGAUUAGAUACCCUAGUAGUC